rnacentral:rRNA from 1 species
AUUGAACGCUGGCGGCAGGCUUAACACAUGCAAGUCGAGCGGGGGAGGUUGCUUCGGUAACUGACCUAGCGGCGGACGGGUGAGUAAUGCUUAGGAAUCUGCCUAUUAGUGGGGGACAACAUUCCGAAAGGGAUGCUAAUACCGCAUACGCCCUACGGGGGAAAGCAGGGGAUCUUCGGACCUUGCGCUAAUAGAUGAGCCAAAGUCGGAUUAGCUAGUUGGUGGGGUAAAGGCCUACCAAGGCGACGAUCUGUAGCGGGUCUGAGAGGAUGAUCCGCCACACUGGGACUGAGACACGGCCCAGACUCCUACGGGAGGCAGCAGUGGGGAAUAUUGGACAAUGGGCGGAAGCCUGAUCCAGCCAUGCCGCGUGUGUGAAGAAGGCCUUUUGGUUGUAAAGCACUUUAAGCGAGGAGGAGGCUACUAGUACUAAUACUACUGGAUAGUGGACGUUACUCGCAGAAUAAGCACCGGCUAGCUCUGUGCCAGCAGCCGCGGUAACAC